CCCAGCUGUAAUCAGCUGCCUAGGUUGCCUUCUACCUAGGCAAGUAUUACAACUGCUGGGAGAACAACAGCCCACAGAUGGUUGGCAUUCUGGACCUGGUUCAUGGCCACACUGUUGUUAAUUAUCCCAGCAUGCCAGCAUA
rnacentral:snoRNA from 1 species